AUUGAACGCUGGCGGCAGGCCUAACACAUGCAAGUCGAGCGGAUGACGGGAGCUUGCUCCUUGAUUCAGCGGCGGACGGGUGAGUAAUGCCUGGGAAUCUGCCUGGUAGUGGGGGACAACGUUUCGAAAGGAACGCUAAUACCGCAUACGUCCUACGGGAGAAAGCAGGGGACCUUCGGGCCUUGCGCUAUCAGAUGAGCCUAGGUCGGAUUAGCUAGUUGGUGGGGUAAUGGCUCACCAAGGCGACGAUCCGUAACUGGUCUGAGAGGAUGAUCAGUCACACUGGAACUGAGGCACGGUCCAGACUCCUACGGGAGGCAGCAGUGGGGAAUAUUGGACAAUGGGCGAAAGCCUGAUCCAGCCAUGCCGCGUGUGUGAAGAAGGUCUUCGGAUUGUAAAGCACUUUAAGUUGGGAGGAAGGGCAGUAAGUUAAUACCUUGCUGUUUUGACGUUACCGACAGAAUAAGCACCGGCUAACUCUGUGCCAGCAGCCGCCGUAAGAC
rnacentral:rRNA from 1 species